AGUGAACGCUGGCGGUAGGCCUAACACAUGCAAGUCGAACGGCAGCACCGUAAGAGCUUGCUCUUACGGGUGGCGCGUGGCGGACGGGUGAGGUAUACAUCGGAAUCUACUUUUUCGUGGGGGCUAACGUAGGGAAACUUACGCUAAUACCGCAUACGUCCUACGUGUGUAAGCAGGCGAUGUUCGGACCUUGCGCGAUUGAAUAAGCCUAUGUCGGAUUAGCUAGUUGGCGGGGUACAGGCCCACCAAGGCGACGAUCCGUAGCUGGUCUGACAGGAUGAUCAGCCACACUGGAACUGAGGCAGGGUACAGACUCCUACGGGAGGAAGCAGUGGGGAAUAUUGGACGAAGGGCGCAAGCCUGAUCCAGCCAUACCGCGUGGGUGAAGAAGGCCUUCGGGUUGUAAAGCCAUUUUGUUGGGAAAGAAAAGCAGCAGGUUAAUACCCCGCUGUUCUGACGGUACCCAAAGAAUAAGCACCGGCUAACUUCGUG
rnacentral:rRNA from 1 species